GGCCGGUAUGAAUGGCGUUACGAAGGCCCCACUGUCUUAAGAGGACUCUCCAUGAAAUUGAAUUCGUAGUGAAGAUGCUACGUCCAUAUUGUAAGACGAAAAGACCCCAUUGAGCUUUACUAAAGACUUGCAUGGCUCAAAAUAAUUUGACUUAAAUAAAAAGUUUAGAUAAUGUGGGACCCGUUUCCGGUUAAUGAAACACCACUCUUUUAUUUUAAGAGAGCUAACAUUACAGGGAUAGUGUAAGUUGGAUAGUUUGGUUGGGGCGACCACCUUUUAAAAGGUAACGAAGGUGAGCUUAAGGUCCGUAGUUAAUAGCCGGUGGCCUGACUGCAAGGGGGACGUCUCGAGCAGACACGUCCUUAGGGAUGUGGACUAUAGUGACCCGUCAUCUUAGUGUGGAAUAGUUGACGAU
rnacentral:rRNA from 1 species